GAUGAACGCUGGCGGCGUGCCUAAUACAUGCAAGUCGAGCGAACAGGCGAGGAGCUUGCUCCUCUGACGUUAGCGGCGGACGGGUGAGUAACACGUGGAUAACCUACCUAUAAGACUGGGAUAACUUCGGGAAACCGGAGCUAAUACCGGAUAAUAUAUUGAACCGCAUGGUUCAAUAGUGAAAGACGGUUUUGCUGUCACUUAUAGAUGGAUCCGCGCCGCAUUAGCUAGUUGGUAAGGUAACGGCUUACCAAGGCAACGAUGCGUAGCCGACCUGAGAGGGUGAUCGGCCACACUAGAACUGGGACACGGUCCAGACUCCUACGGGAGGCAGCAGUAGGGAAUCUUCCGCAGUGGGCGAAAGCUUGACGGAGCAACGCCGCGUGAGUGAUGAAGGUCUUCGGAUCGUAAAACUCUGUUAUUAGGGAAGAACAAAUGUGUAAGUAACUAUGCACGUCUUGACGGUACCUAAUCAGAAAGCCACGGCUAACUACGUG
rnacentral:rRNA from 1 species